GAUGAACGCUAGCGGCAGGCCUAAUACAUGCAAGUCGAACGGCAGCACGAGUAGCAAUACUUGGUGGCGAGUGGCGCACGGGUGCGUAACGCGUAUGCAAUCUACCCUUGACUGGGGAAUAGCCCCGAGAAAUCGGGAUUAAUACUCCAUAACAUCAUCGAGAGGCAUCUCUUGGUGAUCAAAGUUCUGGCGGUCAAGGAUGAGCAUGCGUGACAUUAGCUAGUUGGUGAGGUAACGGCUCACCAAGGCGACGAUGUCUAGGGGUUCUGAGAGGAUUAUCCCCCACACUGGUACUGAGACACGGACCAGACUCCUACGGGAGGCAG
rnacentral:rRNA from 1 species